rnacentral:rRNA from 1 species
AGAGUUUGAUCCUGGCUCAGAUUGAACGCUGGCGGCAGGCCUAACACAUGCAAGUCGAACGGUAACAGGAAGAAGCUUGCUUCCUUGCUGACGAGUGGCGGACGGGUGAGUAAUGUCUGGGAAACUGCCUGAUGGAGGGGGAUAACUACUGGAAACGGUAACUAAUACCGCAUAACGUCGCAAGACCAAAGAGGGGGACCUUCGGGCCUCUUGCCAUCGGAUGUGCCCAGAUGGGAUUAGCUAGUAGGUGGGGUAACGGCUCACCUAGGCGACGAUCCCUAGCUGGUCUGAGAGGAUGACCAGCCACACUGGAACUGAGACACGGUCCAGACUCCUACGGGAGGCAGCAGUGGGGAAUAUUGCACAAUGGGCGCAAGCCUGAUGCAGCCAUGCCGCGUGUAUGAAGAAGGCCUUCGGGUUGUAAAGUACUUUCAGCGGGGAGGAAGGGAGUAAAGUUAAUACCUUUGCUCAUUGACGUUACCCGCAGAAGAAGCACCGGCUAACUCCGUGCCAGCAGCCGCGGUAAUACGGAGGGUGCAAGCGUUAAUCGGAAUUACUGGGCGUAAAGCGCACGCAGGCGGUUUGUUAAGUCAGAUGUGAAAUCCCCGGGCUCAACCUGGGAACUGCAUCUGAUACUGGCAAGCUUGAGUCUCGUAGAGGGGGGUAGAAUUCCAGGUGUAGCGGUGAAAUGCGUAGA